rnacentral:rRNA from 1 species
UACGUAGGGUGCAAGCGUUAAUCGGAAUUACUGGGCGUAAAGCGUGCGCAGGCGGCUUUGCAAGACAGAUGUGAAAUCCCCGGGCUUAACCUGGGAACUGCAUUUGUGACUGCAUGGCUGGAGUGCGGCAGAGGUGGGUGGAAUUCCUGGUGUAGUGGUGAAAUGCGUAGAGAUCAGGAGGAACACCGGUGGCGAAGGCGGCUAUCUGGACGGUUUCUGACGCUAAGACGCGAAAAGCGUGGGGGAGCAAACAGG